rnacentral:tRNA from 1 species
UGGGGUUGUGGCUCAGUGGUAGAGUGCUUACCUAGCAAGUGAGAGGCCCUGGGUUCAAUCUUCAGCACCACAA